rnacentral:rRNA from 1 species
CUACGGGAGGCAGCAGUAGGCAGCAUUGCACAAAUGGGGGAAACCGGGAUGCAGCCAUGACGCAGCCACGAAGAAGGCCUUCGGGUUGUAAAGCAGUUUCAGUUGUGAGGAAAAGUUAGUAGUUAAGAGGUGUUAGCUGUGACGUUAACAACAGAAGAAAAUAAGCACAACUCCGUGCCAUCAGAGCAGGUAAUACGGAGGGUAGGAGCCUUAAUCGGAAUUACUGGGCGUAAAGUAAACGCAGGCUAUUUGUUAACCUAGAUGUGAAAGCCCCUGGCUCAACUUAGGAUUAUCAUUUCCAAGUGGCAGAGUUGUGUUUAGGAGAGGGGAGGGGAAUUCCAUUUGUGGCGGUGAAAUGAGUUGAUUUGUGGUCGAACAUCACUUCAGAAGGGGAGUCCCCGGCCAAAUAUUGAAGUUCAUGUGAGAAAGUGUGGGUAGGGAACAGGACUAGAUUCCAUGGUAGUCCACUCCAUACACUAAGUGUUGCAUA